rnacentral:rRNA from 1 species
UACGUAGGGUGCAAGCGUUGUCCGGAAUUAUUGGGCGUAAAGAGCUCGUAGGCGGCUUGUUACGUCGUCCGUGAAAACUUGGGGCUCAACCCCAAGCUUGCGGUCGAUACGGGCAGGCUAGAGUUCGGUAGGGGAGACUGGAAUUCCUGGUGUAGCGGUGAAAUGCGCAGAUAUCAGGAGGAACACCGGUGGCGAAGGCGGGUCUCUGGGCCGAUACUGACGCUGAGGAGCGAAAGCGUGGGGAGCGAACAGG